GACGAACGCUGGCGGCGUGCUUAACACAUGCAAGUCGAACGGAAAGGCCCUGCCUUUGUGGGGUGCUCGAGUGGCGAACGGGUGAGUAACACGUGAGUAAUCUGCCCUGCACUUCGGGAUAACCUCAGGAAACUGGGGCUAAUACCGGAUAGGAGCUCCGGCUGCAUGGUGUGGGGUGGAAAGUUUCGGCGGUGGGGGAUGCACUCGCGCCUUAUCUGUUUGUUGGUGGGGUUGUGGCUCACGAAGGUUUUGACGGGUAGCCGGCCUGAGAGGGUGGCCGGCCACAUGGGGGCGGAGAGACGGCGCAGACUACUACGGGAGGCAGCGGUGGAGAAUAUUGCACAGUGGGCGGAAGCCUGAUGCAGCAACGCGGCGUGCGGGAUGACGGCCUUCGGGUUGUAAACCGCUUUCGCGUGUGACGAAGCGUGAGGGACGGUAAUGGGGAAGGAGGCACGGGCUACUUACGU
rnacentral:rRNA from 1 species